AAUACGUUCCCCGGGCCUUGUACACACCGCCCGUCACACCACGAAAGUCGGCAACACCCGAAGCCGGUGGCCCAACCCGGUAAGGGAGGGAGCCGUCGAAGGUGGGUUGGUGAUUGGGGUG
rnacentral:rRNA from 1 species